rnacentral:lncRNA from 1 species
UGGGUUUUUAGAAUAUUUUAAUUUUAUUCAUUUUUUAUUUUCAAAAUUUAAUUAGGAUUUAAGAUAAUAGUAAUUUUCUUCAAUUAAUUAUAUUUUUACCAUCAUCAUCUAAUCUUUAAUUAUUUUAUGCAUUUAUCAAUGACAAAAACAUACUAUAAGCUUUAAAUAAAAUGUAAGAUCCAUAAAAUUUUGUAAUUUUAAUAAAUUUUAUAAAGAAUGUGUUGCUAACAUUUAUUUUGUUAGUGCAGCUAGGAAUACAUAUGAAGAUUUUUAUUUGACACUAAAUUAAAGACCAACCUGUUUUGAAAUAAAGUGAUACAUCCAAUUGUAAUCCAUGAUCAAAUCCCAAAUUUUGAUUAAGGUAUUAAGUGUCAAAUGAUUUAUGUCAACAAUUUUUUAUUUGCUAACAUUUAUUUUAGGAUUAAUAUACGUUUGCUAUUGUAAUUUACUUGAUUUUUGGUUUUAGUCCUUUAUUUUAUUUUGAAAAUCAUCCCCAAAAUUGAUUUUUUUUAAAAUUAAUCCCGGAAAUCACUUAUGUGAUUAACAAUUAUAAACAUCAACAAGUGUUACAUUAGCAAAAUGUCAUAAGUGUCAUGUUAGCUAAAAAAUAUUAUGUGAGAAAAAAUGUCACAUUAUUUAAGACUAAAAAAGAUAAUUUACUAGGAUUAACAAUAAAAAUAAAUUUAUAUAUAUGAUUUAUAAAGAUAACGACAUUAACAAGAAUAGAAAUGAGAGUUAAAAUUUAAAUAGAGCUCUUGCAAUGUAAAUUCUCUUAAAAGAAAUAAAUUGAAUUGUUCGAACAUUUGAUGGGAUAAAAUUAUUGGAUCAAAAGAAUUACUUUCAAAUUAUCGAGACUGAAAGACAUGAAUAGUAAAAUUAUGAAUAAAUAAUUCUAAAAUAAUAAUAAUAAAUACCGAGAGUGUAUUAUUUAGAGUAACGGGACAGUUAUUAACUAUUCAUAUGAUUUACUUAUCUUUACUUAUAGAGAGCCCCUGAUCAUUUAAUUAACGUUUCUUAUUCCCAUGCUUCAUCAAGAAAUAAAUAAAUUUCUAGGCAACUCUAUGGUAGUUUGGUAGUUUAACAAGGACAGAGAGAUUUCUCUGUUGAGAGUUCAUGCUUCACAGCAUCUAUUUUAAGAGAGUUUAGCUUAGCUAACCUCUUCUCCUGAAUACUGACUAGUGACUAUACUACAUCAUAUGCUUUCUGUGAGAUAUAAAUAUUAAACUCACCUAUUGAUAUCCCUUCUUGAGGACUCCUUAAACUGAGUUACAAGAGAACAUAUAAGCACAAUAUAUAUAUAUAUAUAUAUAUAUAUAUAUAUAUAUAUAUAUAUAUAUAUAUAUAUAUAUAUAUAUAUAUAUAUAUAUAUAUAUAUUGUAUUUUUAUAAAAAUUUUUCACACACAAGAAUAAAUAUAUAAAUCUCUCUCUUAUGUUUAUACAUGAAUAAUNNNNNNNNNNNNNNNNNNNNNNNNNNNNNNNNNNNNNNNNNNNNNNNNNNNNNNNNNNNNNNNNNNNNNNNNNNNNNNNNNNNNNNNNNNNNNNNNNNNNUCUCUCUCUCUCUCUCACACACACACUCACACACUCACUCACUCUCUCUCUCUCUCUCUCACACACGCACGCGCGCGCGCGCGCGCGCGCGCUCUCACUCUGAAUGAGAUAUUUAUUAUUUUUUUAUUUUUUUUUAUUUAUAUAUAUAUAUAUAUAUAUAUAUAAAUAUAUAUUUUUUUUUUUUUUUAGUGUGAGAGAGAGAGAAAAAAUAUAUAUAUAUAUAUAUAUAUAUAUAUAUAUAUAUAUAUAUAUAUAUAUAUAUAUAUAUAUAUAUAUUGUAUCUUUAUAAAAAUAUUUCUCACACAAGAUUAAGAAUAUUAAACUUAAUCUUAUGAUUAUACAUGAAUAAUUAAUGAUCACUUAAAGAAGUUAGGUAACUUAUUAAUGUUACGCGUUGAUUGAGCGCCUAAGUGGUAUUAGGCUUGGUUACAUGAUUCAGAUUGUGACAUCCUUGAUGAAUGGGUGAACUAAGUUGUCUCGACAAGAGAGAGAAACAUGUAUGGAGAAGAGAGAAAAACUUGGGAGAGUCAGGAUGACCACAAAGAUGGGGUAAUCCAGUUGACAAUCAAAAUCUGUCAACAUCAAAGGCAUGCUAGCAUGAUGGACAACAAAUUUGUUUCUACUUCAAAACAUGAUGGGAGUAAAUAAAAAAUAAGAACCCAUUAGAAAGCAACUGUUAAAUGCAAACCUCACUUUCAUCGAUACGGUCAGGUUUUUUUUUUUUUUCUUGAUGAAACUAUCCCUUCUCAAUCACUACAUGUUCAAGCUUCAAUUUGCUGGAAGCUCUUUUCAACAUGCAACCUUAUAAAUAGACUUUUUCAUGUCCAUCUCAAUAUAAAUGAUCCACAAGUCACACUAGAUUGAGGGCAAUAUACAAUAUUGCUAAGUACCUCUAUAGAUUGAGCAGUUGAGAGCCUAUAAACAUGGACAGGUUUUGUCUGUGGCAUCUAUCCAUGACUUGUAAAUCCAUUUGAGGAUUAUGGAAUUCAAACAAAAAAGAUUAUAAAUUAAACAUUGUAGAGCAAAUAGAUAAGAUGUGAAACAAUGAAAAUGGCAAAAAAUACCAAGUCAUUGUCAGAAAGAAUGCAAGUAUCACCUAGAGAGAGGUUAAUUCCCUCCCAAUCCCCAGUCCUAGUAGUAAGAAGAAAAACUCUACCAUUUCUAUUUACAUCAUUGAAGUCCUAGAUCUGUUCAUGAGCAGAAAAGUUACCCAUGAACUAGACUUAAAUUUAGCCACUUCAAUCUGCGAUUAGUGAUUAAGAACAACAUUUACAAAUACAACAUCAAAUGAUAACACAAGUAUAUUGCAAUUAGCAUUCAUGUUCAAAACAGGCUUAAAGCUUCUUAAUCUACUAAUAGUAUGCUAACUAAAAUGGAAAUGGCCAAUAAUACUUUAGUUUUAAUGAAAUAAUUUAUGCAUAUAAAUAAUGCAUAAAAGAAGACAACGGAGAAAGCCUGUCGUUUAUAUAUUUAAGAUAUGAUUACCCAACAACUAUAAUAAUAUCUUGGUUAUCUAGGAUACAUGUGUAAUCUUCAAAAAGAAAGUGCUUUUAUGAUAUAGCAUUUUGUUCAGAAACUACUCUUUAUAGCUUUCAAGAAAAAGACAACUUUUCUUCUGGAAUUUUCUUUUUCUUCCUAAAAUUGUAUCUAUCAUAAAAAUUCUAAACAUCUUUUCAAUAAGCAAAGCACUUAAAAAAAAGCACAACCAAAUAUUCACUUAAAAAGACAAAACAUAGACGUGUUAUUCAUGCAUUAGUACAAACCAAUUGAAGAAGCUAAAGACUAUGCAAUAUAAAAUAUUUAAUGCCUAAAACAAAAUUGGGUUGAUAAUUAAAAAUACAUAACAAAGAAACAAAUAAGAACCUGUUAUUAUUUGUUGCUCCAUGUUGCAUAAAAUAAAAACAUAAUACCAUGUUAUUAUUAUUGAAUUGCAAACAAGAAAAUUAGAUAUCAUAUUCAAUUUUCUUUCAAAUCAAAACAAUAAAAGAAAUCAAGAAACUAGGAAGUAAAAAAUUAAAUAAUUCCCAACUUAAAAAAGAAUUCAACAAGCUAUAAUAUAGGGUCUCGAAAAAUCUAGCCUACCUUGCUGCUACCAACCAUAUAGCUAUAAAAAUAACUAAGCUUGUUCUUUAUUGCUGCCAUGCUUGUGCACCACUCUUCAAAAGUUAUUUAUAAAGAGUAAACCAUGAUACCUAGUUCGAUUCCAACAAAUAAAAAGUUAUAUGCAAAAAGAGAGAAAUAUGCACACAUUAUAUAUGCACCUUACAAUAAUCCCUUCUCUUUCUCUAAUUCAUUAAGCUGAUUUCCUGAUUCAUUCAGUGAGAAUUAAUUAAUUGAUUUAUAAUUAAUUAGAGGUUGUUACAUGCAGUGCACCUUACCUUUUUUGGUAACCAUGUUUGGCGUAUGGAGUCUCUUCGCCUUUUGCUGCUAAAGGUUGUGUUACCAAUUACCACAAUCUGUGCACUGUGGUUAGAAGACUGUUGCAGCACUCCAAUUUGGCUUCGUCGACCUGCUUUUAGUUCCAUUUCCAAUGUCAAAACUGCCUUAUCCAGUUACCUAUUUUUAUUAUUUGUGCACAAACAAACAUUAAUACAACACAAAACAUCAAAACUUAUGUCACCAGGUCUGCCUUCAAUCAGUUUCUGUUUGGAAGAAUAGAAAUUUAAUUUUUCACAUACUUUGGAAUAAAAAUGCACUACAAUUUAUAUGUACAUGUACUCUCUCGCUUAUGAUCACAGUCAGGUCUGAGUGGUAGUAGUGUAUUUUCAGGUCUGGGUGGUACAUACUUUGGAACCUGCCUUUCCCCUCAUCUUUUCUAUCUCAAUGCCGUGCCAGUAAUGCGACUUUCAACUCAUCAUAGCCAUGAAAUUAAGAUGGGUCUCGAGCAUAUCAUGUGAGCAGGAGUGGAAUGUUCAUUGUAAAAAACAAUCAAUGCGUGAAGCAAAGUGUUUAUAUUGCUCUAUAAAUGCUAUUAUAGUUAUAUACAAAAAAUUUCCCUACCUCGGCUUAACCUCGAUGGUUUAAUUUUGUUAUAUUAUUGGCAUUAGAAGCACAAAGAUUUGAUGCAAAUUUACUAAUAUGAUUAGAAACAACAUGAUCAAAUCAAAGAGAGUGAAUAGUUUGUAAUUUCUCUUUUCUCCUGAUCAAGGA